GACGAACGCUGGCGGCGUGCUUAACACAUGCAAGUCGAACGGAAAGGCCCUGCUUGCAGGGUACUCGAGUGGCGAACGGGUGAGUAACACGUGGGUGAUCUGCCCUGCACUUCGGGAUAAGCCUGGGAAACUGGGUCUAAUACCGGAUAGGAGCCAUUUUUAGUGUGAUGGUUGGAAAGUUUUUUCGGUGUAGGAUGAGCUCGCGGCCUAUCAGCUUGUUGGUGGGGUAAUGGCCUACCAAGGCGGCGACGGGUAGCCGGCCUGAGAGGGUGGACGGCCACAUUGGGACUGAGAUACGGCCCAGACUCCUACGGGAGGCAGCGGUGGGGAAUAUUGCACAAUGGGCGCAAGCCUGAUGCAGCGACGCCGCGGGGGGGAUGACGGCCUUCGGGUUGUAAACUCCUUUCGCUAGGGACGAAGCUUUUUGUGACGGUACCUAGAUAAGAAGCACCGGCUAACUACGUG
rnacentral:rRNA from 1 species